rnacentral:rRNA from 1 species
UACGUAGGGUGCGAGCGUUAAUCGGAAUUACUGGGCGUAAAGCGUGCGCAGGCGGCUAUUUAAGCUUGCUGUGAAAGCCCCGGGCUUAACCUGGGAAUGGCAGUGAGGACUGGAUGGCUGGAGUGUGGCAGAGGGGGGUGGAAUUCCACGUGUAGCAGUGAAAUGCGUAGAGAUGUGGAGGAACACCGAUGGCGAAGGCAGCCCCCUGGGCUAACACUGGCGCUCAGGCACGAAAGCGUGGGGAGCAAACAGG